UACGAGGGGGGCGAGCGUUGUUCGGAAUUAUUGGGCGUAAAGGGUGCGUAGGCGGUUUGGUAAGUCUUGUGUGAAAUCUCCAGGCUCAACUUGGAGUCUGCACGAGAAACUGCCGGGCUUGAGUGUGGGAGAGGUGAGUGGAAUUCCUGGUGUAGCGGUGAAAUGCGUAGAUAUCGGGAGGAACACCAGUGGCGAAGGCGACUUCCUGGCCUGUUCUUGACGCUGAGGCGCGAAAGCUAGGGGAGCAAACGGG
rnacentral:rRNA from 1 species